UACGUAGGGUGCGAGCGUUGUCCGGAAUUACUGGGCGUAAAGAGCUCGUAGGUGGUUUGUCGCGUUGUUCGUGAAAACUCACAGCUUAACUGUGGGCGUGCGGGCGAUACGGGCAGACUGGAGUACUGCAGGGGAGACUGGAAUUCCUGGUGUAGCGGUGGAAUGCGCAGAUAUCAGGAGGAACACCGGUGGCGAAGGCGACUCUUUGGCCUGUAACUGACACUGAGGCGCGAAAGCGUGGGGAGCAAACAGG
rnacentral:rRNA from 1 species